ensembl:lncRNA
AAUGCUCUUUUGAACACAUCACUUCCCUGUACCCAUGGGACAAAGGCAACAGGAAGGGCUGCCACUCACAGGCCACACCUAUUCCUUAGUGAAGGAGAUCUGAGCAAAGGAGUACAAAUGCUUUGCACCCUGCCAGGCUUCAGGCAAUGUAGCACCUUUGUAGUCAGCCCAUGGGACUCUUUUGGAGGCUGUGCCUGGCAGCAAGGGGGAGAGAGAUCCUUAUUACUACUCUGAAUGCAACACGUUGUCUCAAAACCAUCUAUAGAGCUCCAGGCCCAGAGAUGUUCCCCUACCACAGAGGCUUACUGGUGUGUUUGAUUAUUUGCAGUUGUUCCAAUGAAGCAUGUGAUAUUUCAUCUAUUUCCAGUUUGCACAAACAUACAGAACACAAAGCUGCAGCCAGGAAUUUGGCUGCCAGAAGCUUCCCUUUUUCCCCUGGAUGCUAUUGCAUACUUCACAAUUGAAAGCCGUAGCCAGAACCCAGAUGGCUCAAUCCAAGGUUACCCUCUCCACGGAGCUCUGUUGUGUCCUCUUCCUGCAUCCGUGGCCAUUCCAUUGAUUCACUGCAGCCAAGCUCAUUUUUGUUCAUGGACUUACACAAGUGUAUUGUCAUGCAAAUUGGGGAUGGAGGAUGCUGGUGGACACUCAGGAGGAGGAUGGCAUAGGGACAGGAGAGGUGCAGUAUGCACGUUGCAUUAAUCACUUGACUGCAGACUGGGGAACUCAGUCAUCAGCCAGAAAAGGAGCAACACAUUUCAUGUUUAGCCACCUCAUAUGGACACAGAACAAUGAACUUGCUUCACUGGCCAUGUCCUUUCUGUGUGUCAGCCAUGAAAGGAGAUGAAUACUCACCGAGUGUACUGAACACUUGCCCAGAAUGCCUAAAAACUGUGGGAUUGCAAAGGCUGUGCAGUGCUCCAGUCCAUAACUAAUCCAUUGUCAUGUGCUUACACAAUGCAGACACUGCCAGGGAUAAAACUCAAGACUGAGGACCUGGUCCAAAGUCUACUAAAGUCAAUGGUUGGUCUUGCAAGGACUAAAGCAAGAGCCCUCUUUAUGAGCACACUUUAGUGUAAUUGUAAGCAGGAGUAGUAAGUGCACAAAUUCCCUUUGGUCAUGCUAUUUGCAAGAGAAAGAGGCAAUCAUACACUGUCAACUUAUUAUACGUAUUUUUGAGAAGUUGAUGAACAUCAGCAGGCCACACUCACUACAGUUCAAUGGAGCUGACUGCAUAAAAAUCUAAUCCUCUUCCAAUUUAAGUCAGAGGAAGUGCUCUCACUGAUUUCAAAAUGACAAAAUCUUUGGCUCAGUGUGACUACUGAAGGUGACAAAGGUGAGCCUUAACUUAAGUGAACGUGAAGAGAGCGGAAAAGAAUGGGGUGGUGACAAGGGACAGGACAGAGUAAAAGUCAGCUCCUGCAGAAUGGACUUGUGGUGGUUGCACUUGGAUGAGCUUUUCUAAAACACAGAAACAAAAUCUCCAUCCUGCCAAAACAAUGUGAGCUAUGCUAGACCUGUAAAUAGGAAGGCAUUAAAAAUAGGCUCUAAUUGUCUUGAAAUGGCCCUCCUCUAAGCGGUGGCAUUCUUUACCUGUAGCCAAGCAGCGCCUGUAAAAGCCUCAGCUCUUUCCUAUGUUUGCACACAUCAAAGAAAUGACUCCCAGUAUGAUCCUCACAAGCAAAGCAUCCUCAUGAUCAAU